GACCCCACACACAGUGGAGGUUGUGUUUUCAGUAGGAGGUGUGAUCUGAGCUCUCUAUUUUCUACUUCUACAAGAAUAAUGAUGAAAGUAUAAAGGAGCCUUUGUACAGAAUGAUGACAGUAUAAAGGAUUGUCAGAUUCUCCCUAACUUUACAGGUAUUCUGCAAGUUAUUCUGAAAUAACAGGUAACAGGUCACACAACUAUAUGACCUCCUAUAGGUACGCACUGCAAGCUGUUCUACUAAGCCACGCGAAAAGGCCCAAGAACUACAAUGGAAAAGGUGGAUGUGUGAGAUUGCAAGAUUCUGAGGGCUCUGAAGGUUAAUGAGUGCCUGCUCGCCUCUGUUCCCAUCUGGCCUGAAACUGCCAGGAAAUCCACCAUGAAGAAUAUUCACUUGUGAUGUCCACAAAAGAUUUGUCUUCUCUCAUGCCAUAAAGGUGUCCCAAACCACAUUCAUGGUUCUUCCUCGAAUCACCGCUAUCUGCUCAGUGACUCAGACUUCUGAUUUCCUUGAUAUUCUGUUUAGUUAACAAUGCAAAUUAGUUUUUUAAUUACACAGGUUUAAAAACAAUAAUGUGGCUAAUUGAAGUAUAAAGAAGUAAAAAUCACUUGAAAUUAGGCCAUCUUGAAAUAAAUAAUGUAAAUAUUUUGGUGAUCAUUUAUUCCUGCACAUCUUUAUAAGU